GUUCAAAGUGACACGGCAUAAAAAAAUAUCAGAAGUAAUAGUUGAAUGAUUUUUGAUCGGCUCUAAGAAAAAAAAAGGAUCACUUUUUUAUUGCUGAUUUUGCAUCUGUCGAUAUCUCAUUAUAGCUCUUGAGGAUACAUUCAAGAAAGUUCGCGACCACAAUUUAGCUGGAGGACUACUUGCAAGACACAAGAGAUCGGCAAGUUAUAAACGCUGAAACAAUGGAAGGAAAUACUGGAACAAACGUAAUGGCUGAAUUGCUGUAACCAAUGAACUAGUGUGGUACACAUAAAUCUUAAGUGUAGCAUGUUGUCAAAAGCAAAAAUAAAGCUCCUCGUGAACUUUA